UACGAAGGGGGCUAGCGUUGUUCGGAAUUACUGGGCGUAAAGCGCGUGUAGGCGGGUCGUUAAGUCGGGGGUGAAAUCCCAGAGCUCAACUCUGGAACUGCCUUCGAUACUGGCGACCUGGACCCAUGUAGAGGCGAGUGGAAUUACGAGUGUAGAGGUGAAAUUCGUAGAUAUUCGUAGGAACACCAGUGGCGAAGGCGACUCGCUGGACAUGUGGUGACGCUGAGACGCGAAAGCGUGGGGAGCAAACAGG
rnacentral:rRNA from 1 species